GACGAACGCUGGCGGCGUGCUUAACACAUGCCAGUCGAACGGAAAGGCCCUGCUUUUGUAGGGUGCUCGAGUGGCGAACGGGUGAGUAACACGUGAGUGACCUGCCCUUUACUUUGGGAUAACUUCUGGGAACUGGAGCUAAUACCGGGUAUGAACUCCUUCUGCAUGGGUGGGGUGGGAGAGUGUCGGCGUUGCGGGAUGGAAUCGAGGUUUAUCAUCGUGUUGGCGAGUUGGUGGCGUACCGAGGCUUUGAGGGGUAGCCGGAUUGGGGGGGUGACAGGCCACAUUGGGACACAGAUAACGGCCGGACUCCUACGGGAGCCAGCGGUGAGGAAUAGUGCACACUGGGCGGCAGCAUGAUGCAGCAACGUCGCGUGCUGGAUGACGGCUUUUGGGUUGGAACCCGCUUUCGACUGUGAAGAAGAGUGAGUGACGGUAAUGGGUAAAGAAGCACCGGCUAACUACGUG
rnacentral:rRNA from 1 species